UACGGAGGGAGCUAGCGUUGUUCGGAAUUACUGGGCGUAAAGCGCGCGUAGGCGGCUCAUCAAGUCAGGGGUGAAAGCCCGGGGCUCAACCCUGGAACUGCCUUUGAAACUAGUGAGCUAGAAUCUUGGAGAGGCGAGUGGAAUUCCGAGUGUAGAGGUGAAAUUCGUAGAUAUUCGGAGGAACACCAGUGGCGAAGGCGACUCGCUGGACAAGUAUUGACGCUGAGGUGCGAAAGCGUGGGGGAGCAAACAGG
rnacentral:rRNA from 1 species